GUAUUUGUUUUGGUAAGAUAUAUACUAAAAUUGUAAUAAUACCGAGAAGAUUAGCAGAGUCUCUGCUCAAGGACAACAUAUCAAUUUGUGAAGUAUUUCAUAUUUCC
ensembl:snRNA U6 U6 spliceosomal RNA